rnacentral:lncRNA from 1 species
CUGCGGCGGAUUUCGCGCAGCUCCAUCACCCCCUGACAGGCUGCAGUAACGGUCGCAACACUGUUCCACUCCCUACGACGGAUCCCACGCGGCUCCAUUACUACCUGACAGGCCACGAUAAACGGCCACGAUCCUGCUCCACCUCCUGCAACGGAUACCGCACGAUUCUCCCAUCCGCUGGCAAGACGCGACAGCAAACGCCGCCCCACUUCCCGCGGCAGAUUCCACGUGGCACGCCCCAGUGAUGGCCACGGGUCUAC